AGUGCCUGAAGUUCUCACCUGGCCACCUCCUAUCUGACCAGCUCCAGUGCCACCAUCUCUGGGGAAGUCACCCAGCACCCUGGGCUCUGUCUCUGCCUCACCAGUAAUCAGUUCCACUGGAACACAGAUCCUGAGUCCCACACCCCCACACGGUGCCAGCCUCCUGCAGAAGGAAGGCGGGUCUUACCUGCCACAGGUUGGUGCGGUUUGGCUGGAACUGGUUCCCCCACGGGUAAACCUGACCUGUCAGGAGGGCAAGGACACAGGCCACAAAGGAGAAACAAAAAGACGGGGAAGAAACAGAAAAUCAGGGAGGGCACCAGAGGGCAGCUGAGUGGUGAGGGAGAGAAGGGAGGCCGUUCACUUCUGCCCCAUGCAGCCCUGCCCGGGGCACUAGCUGACCGCCCGCCCCAGGGCUCUGCAUCCUGCGUGAGUUCUGUGACGGGCUCAAUCUGGAAGCCCUGCUGCUGGUUCCCGUGCAGGGGUUCCUCUGAAGAGUGUGCAGAGGUGUUCAGCUUGGGACGCUGCUGUCCUUCUCGUGACCCCGGCACGGCUAGGACUGCAGCAGGAUGAAGCAGCGAGUGACCAAGGGUCCCGUGCUGCCCCGCCCCUGGACAGGCACGCUGCUUCCCCCAAGCUGUGCUGCUCCCGAAGGAGCUAUCGAAAUCCGACCUACACCUGCGGAGCCUCCGGCAAUAAAAGGUUAGGUCUUUUCAUUUCCCGUUUUCCCGGCACUGCACAGGCGUGUACGUCAGAGGCGGGUCAGCGGUGAAACAACCUGGGGACCCUGGGUUAAGAGGCACUGCGCUCCCUGGCCUUGGAAGCCCCCCAGGCAGGGUGGGAUGUGGAGAACAGAGACGUGGCCUUGACAUUGUACCCUUCAAACCCCCUCGGGCAGCAAACUCCCACUCUUCCUCAGUGGGCAGCCGUUUCCCCCGCCAAGCACAGUAGGCACGGGCAUCGUUCCAGCUCACGUGGACCACGGGGAGCUCCAGUCUCUCACGGAUGCCAGAGCCGGGACCUGCGGGCUGACAGCCAGCACAGGACUGGUGUUCCUGGACGAGUGGCCAAGGGGUCUAGGGAAGACGGCCUCCAGAAUAGGGGCAGGGGUAGAAAAUGAGGUAGAGGAACCAACAUUCACCUGCCUCCAAAAUGCCUUUUCCACUGGACGCCACCAGAGAAGAGACUGCAACACGGAAGACGCAGAAGUGGAAGACGCUGUUACCAGGAAGGCACCUCCCAACAGCCACGAAGCACAAGAGGCUGAGGCGGGGUCCUGGGAGUGUGGCUGGACUCUUAACCGCACCCGCUGGGCAGGUUCCUGCAGGUGCCCUCCUGCCAGCUCCGGAAGCACCCACGCCCUGUCUACCUGGAUUCUCUCAGCUUCGCUACACGCAAGGACCAGCUCAGGCGAGCUCCCAGGAGCACCUGCUCAUCUGACUCUUUUGGGGUGGGCUUCUCCUGCUCCCCUCUGUGGCCUAGUGAUUCUGACCAGGUCCCACUCCGUCCCUCAGCUGUGUGCCAGUUUCUCUCACCUCCAUCUGCUGGGUCGCUUUGUGUCUUAGCUCACUGGAGACAAAGUCCUCAAAGACAAAGCUCCACCCGAACAUCUCAGCUUCCGUCCGGUACUUCUUCUCCCUGACAAACUCCCUGAAGAGAGACAUUUCACUGGUCGACUGGGUUCCGUGCCCAUCCCUACUCACUCUGGGAAACCUCCUAUGUCCUUGUUCUCUAAGUCACACCCCACGGUUCUCAAGAGCUCCAAAUAAUUCACCAGAACGCCUGAGCAGAUCUUCUUGUAAGUUAGGAUAUCAUUUGCAUUUAACACACAGGUUGAAGGAAAGCCCAUGAGUCUCUAGAGUGACUUUCCCACCGUUGGAAUGAUCUGGUGCAUUUCAACAAGCAGACUGUGGGGGACAGAGGGACCGCGUGCCACUGGGCACAGACCCUAACGGCUGGCAAGCAGUCUCACACUGAGUGA